CUUCUCCUACGGGAGGCAGCAGGGGGGAAUAUUGCACAAUGGGGGAAACUCUUAUGCAGCAACGCCGCGUGAGUGAAGAAGUAUUUCGGUAUGUAAAGCUCUAUCAGCAGGGAAGAAGAUGACGGUACCUGACAAAGAAGCCCCGGCUAACUACGUGCCAGCAGCCGCGGGAAUACGUAGGGGGCAAGCGUUAUCCGGAUUUACUGGGUGUAAAGGGAGCGCAGACGGCAGUGCAAGUCUGGAGGGAAA
rnacentral:rRNA from 1 species